UACCUCGUUGACCGGAAGGGGUUCCUUCCGGUCAACGAGGAUGUACCUCGUUGAUCGGAAGGAAACCCUUCCGAUCAGCGAGUACAUCUACCUCGUUGAUCGGAAGGAACCCCUUCCGAUCAGCGAGGUACAUCUACCUCGUUGAUCGGAAGGAAACCCUUCCGAUCAGCGAGGUA
rnacentral:miRNA from 1 species